AUUGAACGCUGGCGGCAGGCCUAACACAUGCAAGUCGAGCGGAUGAAGGGAGCUUGCUCCUGGAUUCAGCGGCGGACGGGUGAGUAAUGCCUAGGAAUCUGCCUGGUAGUGGGGGAUAACGUCCGAAAACGGGCGCUAAUACCGCAUACGUCCUGAUGUAGCAAGUGGGUGAUCUUCGGACCUCACGCUAUCAUAUGAGCCUAGGUCGGAUUAGCUAGUUGGUGGGGUAACGGCCUACCAAGGCGACGAUCCGUAACUGGUCUGCGAGGAUGAUCAGUCACACUGGAACUGAGACACGGUCCAGACUCCUAGGGGAGGAAGCAGUGCGGAGUAUUGGACGAUGGGCAGAAGCCGGAUACAGCCAAGCCGCGUGGAUGAAGAAGGUCUUCGGAUUGUAAAGCACUUUAAGUUGGGAGGAAGGGUAGUACGUUAAUACCUUGCUGUUUUGACGUUACAAACAGAAUAAGCACCGGCUAACUUCGUG
rnacentral:rRNA from 1 species